CUCGUUAAUACUUGUCUCCAAUGCUCUCUUUCUUUGUUGAUGGCCAAUUGUAUGCUUUGUUUGAAAUCUAUUUUCUAGUUCCAUCCAACUAGUCAUGCAGCCUAUAUGCUCCUUAGACACUUCAUGAUUUGUAAGGCGACGAUGCAUAUUAUGCCAAUCUUUAUAUCCCUCGUUACCCAAUUGACGAAUACUUUUCAUCGUUCUUUCUGUUUUAAACAACUUGCAGCAAAAAUAAAAUAUCUUGUCUAAAGAAAUGGAAUACACUAACCAUUUUCAAUCAGUUAUCUGCCCAUUUGCAAGUAGCCACUUAUAGUGUGAUGAUUCAAAAUGUCUACCUUGACUAUCUUUGGGAAACAAGAUGCCGUCAACUCUUUUUGGACCUAUUUCAACUAAAACGUCCCUCGUCUUUUGAUCAAUGUGGAUGUCCUUCUAAUUUUCGGGAUCUUCAAAAUUCAAAGAAAAGCAAUUCUUUUGAUUUAAAUCUUCAUGUUGAAUAUUAUCUGCCUCAUUUUGCUUUGAUUCAUCCACGUUGGCAGGUUCAAUCAUUUUCUCGUUCUCUUUCCGUUCAUCCACAGUGUCAUUAUCAUUUUGAUUAUGUUGUUCCUCAAUCAAUAAAUUUUCUGGUGUUCCUUCCUUCUCUUUUUGUUUCUUGUUAUUAAAGCACUUCUCCAUAUCUCCAGUCUGACUUCGAAUUAAUGCCUCUACUCUUUCUCUCUUUUUCUUUUUUUGAGCUCCAGAUGCAUAUUUAGGAGCCAUAGUAUUUGAUUUAAGUCACUCAACAACUAUCAAUAACCUGCAAGGAUCCCAAAGUGGUCC
rnacentral:lncRNA from 1 species